AUAUUUAAUAGAAAUAAUUAUUAAUAAAAUCUGCUCAAUGAUAUAUUAAAUAGCCGCAGCUCAUACUGUGCUAAGGUAGCAUAAUCACUUGUUUUUUAAUUAAAAACUAGAAUGAAAGAUUUAACAUUUUAAAUAUUAUAUUAAAUUCAACUUUUAAAAUUUUUAUAAAUGUCAAAAAACAUCUAUUAAUAAGAAAGACGAUAAGACCCUAAUGAACUUAACUAUAGUUAAACUGGGGUAGUUUACCAAUCAUUACUUAAUAAUAUACACAAACAUAAAUGACCUAGUCAAACUAAUUUCAUGAUCAAGUUACCAUAGGGAUAACAGCGUAAUAAUUUUCUAUAGAUCUUAUAUAAAAAAAUGAUUGCGACCUCGAUGUUGAAUUAAUUAAUCUAUUAUACGUAAAAAUAUAAAAAGAAAGUCUGUUCGACUAUUAAACAAUUACAUG
rnacentral:rRNA from 1 species